UGAUUUAUUAUUUUGCCUUCCAAUGUAUGAUCCCAUUUGUUUAUUUUAAUUUACAGGUGUGACAUUUUUAUUACUUAUUAGGCACAUUUAACAGAUGGGAAAAUACAAAUGCAUAGAUAAUUACAGUGUGUUUAAGUUGUGAAUUUUCCACACAAGCUAGAAUUCCCCAAGCACAUUAAAGUGAUUUACUUGCAAGCUGUCUGAUGAUACAACUAAUCAGUUUGUUUUGUCCCUAAUAGUGGGAUUGCCCAAACUCUCAAGAAAGAGGAAGUUUUUUUAUAUGAAAUUGGAGGAAAUAUUGGGGAACGCUGCCUCGACGAUGACACUUACAUGAAGGACUUAUAUCAGCUCAACCCAAAUGCUGAGUGGGUUAUAAAGUCCAAGCCAUCAUAGAAGACUUACAGAAGACUUAUGCUGCAGAUAACCAUAGGACUUCCUUAUUAAUACUUGCUGGGUCAAGAGUGUAAAUAAAAAAAAAAAA